AUCAUGCCGCUCUUGGUGAGGUAGCUCUCGAACGCCUGCCGUCGGAGCGGCGAGCCGUCGUACGACUCGGCCAGCGGCGACGCCGCCGACGCGCCCCUCGGGCUGGACUGCUGCUGCUGCGGCAGGACGCGGAGCUGGUCCGGCGUGUGCGCGAAGAAGCAGACGCGGCGGCGGCAGCCGGUGCCGUCCUUGCAGGGCUGCGUGCGGUAGCGGGACGGGUGGAGCCAGCACUCGAACACCCCGUGCGCGUACUCGCACGCGUCGCCGCGCUUGCACCCGCCCUUGCGGAAGUCCGGGCACGCCGCGCCGGAGUAGUGGUACCGCCGCGGGUCGCGGCGCCGGGCUUUCUCCCCCGGGUGCGCGUAGGGGCAGUCCGUCCAGUCGUGGCUCCGCCCGCGGGAGCACCGCCGCACCUUGAACUCGUACAUCCGGAACUCGUCGCAGGCGUACGCGUCCACCCCGGCCGCCAGGGCCGCCUCCUCGUCGUCCUCGUCGUACGGCGCCGCCGCCGCCGACACCUCGUUGGACGGCAGGUAAUGCUGCAGCGCCGCCAGGAGGGCGUACGGCGACGCCGCCUCAUCCGCGUCCAUGCUGGCCG
rnacentral:lncRNA from 1 species